GUCACCGUUCGGUACAGCCAGGCGGUAAACAUUACACAGUACGAUUGGCCAUGUCCUAAGGGUCCUUUGGUUUGGUUUUCGACUUUGAGUUUUUCGACGGCAUUCAGUUGUGAGAAGUGACAAACGAACGCGACAUGCGUUAAAGAGAUCGUGCAUACUCAUUUCAAUUCGUUCGGUUUAAUCUUUUAAGUUAUUUCGUUAAUUCAUUUUCCAAAGGAUGUUGAGUCGGAAUAUGGGAUUUUUGGACUCUGGAACGGUUUAACAAAAACCUCACAGAUUUAUUUGCUUAUAGCAAAGAAUGGUGGGUUAUUAUCAAAUGAAACAAAUUACAAAUUCCACAACGAUGUCGGUCAAGAACGAAAUAUCGACUGUGGAACCAGUAGAUCCUGUGAAAAGUCUCGUAUGUAGUCCGGAUUUAAGUGUGUUCACUUCACCGGCAUGUGGUUCUGAAACUCCGUUAACAAAUAUCGAAGAGAAGACAUACCAGUGUCUGCUGUGUCAGAAAGCCUUUGAUCAAAAGAAUUUAUAUCAGAGUCAUUUGCGCUCACACGGUAAAGAAGGUGAAGAUCCAUACCGAUGCAAUAUUUGCGGGAAAACUUUUGCGGUACCUGCGCGACUGACUAGACAUUAUCGUACGCAUACUGGUGAAAAACCGUAUCAAUGCGAAUAUUGUAGUAAAUCGUUUUCCGUAAAAGAGAAUUUAAGCGUUCAUCGUCGUAUACAUACAAAAGAACGGCCUUAUAAGUGUGACGUGUGCGAACGCGCGUUUGAACAUAGUGGUAAACUACAUCGACAUAUGCGAAUUCAUACCGGCGAACGGCCGCAUAAGUGUACUGUCUGUUCAAAAACGUUCAUUCAAAGCGGACAAUUAGUAAUUCAUAUGCGCACGCAUACCGGAGAAAAACCAUACGUUUGCAAAGCAUGUGGCAAGGGAUUCACUUGCUCAAAGCAACUGAAGGUACAUACGCGUACGCAUACCGGGGAGAAACCAUAUACUUGCGACAUUUGCGGGAAGUCCUUUGGUUAUAAUCACGUAUUAAAGUUACAUCAGGUUGCCCAUUAUGGUGAAAAAGUUUAUAAAUGUACAUUAUGUCACGAAACUUUUGGUUCAAAGAAAACAAUGGAGUUACAUAUUAAAACUCAUUCAGACUCAUCAGUUGUUGGUUCUCCUCGAGAUUCGCCAAUUGAACCAGAAAUUGAAAUCUCACAGAAUAGUGUAAGCACUGGCAGUGACAAGGAAAACCACAAGACUGAAGAGCCAAACGAUGAAGUUGCUAUUUACGAUAACACUCCACGUGAUUUUCCUUAUUAUAUGUAUUCCAGAGAGCAGUAUUCACAAUCACAUCUCAUAUCUAAUGAAAAUAGAGACUUUCAAACAACACCUACUGUCUCUGUUGAACAGCCUCAUUUAUUUUUGUAUCCAGAAGUUUCUUCAACAUACACUGGUUUUGGAAUUCAAAGUACUGAUUUUGUUGGUGACUGUUCAUCUCUUCUCAAUUUGCCAGGAAAUGAUGCUCGUAGAAGAGUCGAGGCUGCAUUAGAAGCAGUUGAAGAAGAAAGACAAAGAGAAUAUGGAAUCAGGGUUGAAAGAGAUCCAAUUCUAACUCCUCCAAGUAGCAAUCCUGUGAGUCCUGUACCUUCGCCAGAUCCUCUUGAUUUGGCGAUUCCUGUACGAGAAACAUUAAUUCUCCCUCCAAGGAAACGGUGUAAAAUGAUAUUAGAAUCCAUGGAAAUUGAAAGGAAUGGUCUCAUUGCCUCUCAAAGACAGAACUCUGUUAUUCAAUUUGCAAAAGCAUCAUAGUAGAAGAUAUGGAAGAAAUUAAUUAUCAUGAACCAGUGAUAAUAUCAUAAAUGGUCUUACUGAAAUAGUACUAUACUGUAUAAGCGAUUAUACAAAUUCUCUACUGUGAGAAUAAAAUUGAUAGAGAAGAAAGUACCAAACACAUUAAGAACUCCAUUAUUGCCAGAGUAUUGAGUGGAGCUAUGCUCACUGCCAGUACAAGUAUGCAUGUAUAUAAACGUACGUGCGAGUUUAAUAUUAAAUAUUAAAUUGUAUUAGAUUAUAACAAUAUUUAUAAUUUAAAGCCAUCUGUAUUUACAUUUGGCAUUACUCCAGUAUGAAAUACAAAAUGUUUUAUAAAUUGUGAAAUAAUUUAAUGGAAGAUUCCGCAAAGUGCAUAUAACUGAAAUAUAAAUUAUAUUUCAGUUUUAAUCUUACUUUCAUAUUUAUAAUUAAACUUUUUAAUAUACACACACCUAAAGUUAAAAAAAGAAUAAGUCCUUAAUAUAAUAUCCGAAAAGUCCGAAAUUUUAAGAAAUUGCGGUACUUAAGAUACUAUUUUUAAGGUUUUUAGUUCAAAAAUAUUUUAUAUUAAAAUAUGUAUCUAUUAAACUUGUAUAUCUUAUUAAAAAGUAUUUAAGAGAUAAUACUAAAUGUACUUUGCGAUUGAAUCUACCACUAAUUAUCGAUCUGUGGUUUAGAGAAAAGCUUUGCGUAUACACUGAGCCAUGUUUAUAAUUAAUAAGUAAUGUAAUAUUUAUAUAGAAGCUCAUGUAUAUUAUUCAUUUUUUCCUUAUUUUCAAUGGAAAUAAUUUGACACGUGGCCUACUCUUUAUUUCCCUAAAGAUUUAAGUAAAUCUCGAUCUUUUUGUUAUAUGUGAAUUAUAUUCUCGUUAAUCAUGUGUGAAUCCUCACAUGGCAUAAAAUUUAUGUGCAAUUGUAUAUUUAAGUUCUUUGGGAAGCUUAGCUUUCAUUCUUUAUUAUUGUUUUUAUUUACUCUCGGCAAAGUUUUAAAUGAGGAAAUACUCGAGUGUAUUGUUAUAAAUUUUAAGAAUUGUUAUGUUGUAUAUGUUUUUCGAAGCGCUUAAAAUUAGGUUUAAAAUGUAAAUUUUUUUUUUUUUUUCUGCCUAUAAGUCGUUGAAUAUGGCCACGUGAUAAUACAUAAAAAAAAAAAAAAAAAGAAUGGAUGCAAAUUGUUAAGUAUUAUGAUAAUAAUAAUAAUGAGAAAUAGAUUGAAAUGUGCAGAAAUAAUUCUAGUGUAAUAUUACAAUAAUCUGUUAUUACUUAUUAUUUUUUAAGAUAUACAAAUACAUGCCAAAUGGGAUGUGUUUUAUCCCAUUAUCUCAAGCGUGUGGAACUGAUUACAUGAUAAAGAAAA